CGUUAGCGACAGAAGAAGCACCGGCUAACUCCGUGCCAGCAGCCGCGGUAAUACGGAGGGUGCGAGCGUUAAUCGGAAUUACUGGGCGUAAAGCGCAUGCAGGUGGUUUGUUAAGUCAGAUGUGAAAGCCCGGGGCUCAACCUCGGAAUAGCAUUUGAAACUGGCAGACUAGAGUACUGUAGGAGGGGGUAGAAUUUCAGGUGUAGCGGUGAAAUGCGUAGAGAUCUGAAGGAAUACCGGUGGCGAAGGCCGGCCCCCGUCGGACAGAUACUGACACUCAGAUGACGAAAGCGGUGGGGAGACAAACAGGAUUAGAUACCCUGGUAG
rnacentral:rRNA from 1 species